rnacentral:rRNA from 1 species
AGUGAACGCUGGCGGUAGGCCCAACACAUGCAAGUCGAACGGCAGCACAGUAAGAGCUUGCUCUUACGGGUGGCGAGUGGCGGACGGGUGAGGAAUACAUCGGAAUCUACUUUUUCGUGGGGGAUAACGUAGGGAAACUUACGCUAAUACCGCAUACGACCUACGGGUGAAAGCAGGGGAUCUUCGGACCUUGCGCGAUUGAAUGAGCCGAUGUCGGAUUAGCUAGUUGGCGGGGUAAAGGCCCACCAAGGCGACGAUCCGUAGCUGGUCUGAGAGGAUGAUCAGCCACACUGGAGCUGAGACGCGGUCCAGACUCCUACGGGAGGCAGCAGUGGGGAAUAUUGGACAAUGGGCGCAAGCCUGAUCCAGCCAUACCGCGUGGGUGAAGAAGGCCUUCGGGUUGUAAAGCCCUUUUGUUGGGAAAGAAAAGCAGCAGGUUAAUACCCCGCUGUUCUGACGGUACCCAAAGAAUAAGCACCGGCUAACUUCGUG